UAAUCCUACGGGAGGCAGCAGUGGGGAAUAUUGCACAAUGGGGGAAACCCUGAUGCAGCAACGCCGCGUGAAGGAAGACGGUUUUCGGAUUGUAAACUUCUGUUCUUAGUGAAGAAAAAUGACGGUAGCUAAGGAGCAAGCCACGGCUAACUACGUGCCAGCAGCCGCGGUAAUACGUAGGUGACAAGCGUUGCCCGGAAUUACUGGGUGUAAAGGGAGCGCAGGCGGGAAGCCAAGUCAGGUGUGAAAACUACGGGGUUAAAUUGUAGACUGCAGUUGAAACUGGGUUUCUUG
rnacentral:rRNA from 1 species